AUGUCUUGCAACGUGUUCCAGUGGCCAGGGAAUGGCUGUAUACGAUGUGUUUGACUUUGAUCCAUAGCUUUCAUGUAGAAUAAAUGAAGAACAUGCCAUGACACUUGAUUUUCAGUAAGAACUAAGAACUGAGCUGAGUACUGACACCAAUAUUUCCUUGCUUGCUUAUGAUGGAUUUGCUAUGGUCAGCUAUAGUGCCAUUUUUUUGAUUCCUGGAUUCUUGAUGUGAGCCUAGACCAAAUGUUCCUCCACCUUCUGCUCAAUCAUUUGUUCUUACAAAAUAAGGUGCUACUGAAGUUGAUAUGGGUUGACUCAAGCACCACAAAAUCAUAAUACAUUGUCUUGCAUGGUCAAGAACUGAUGACCUUGAGGACCAACAACAUCAGUCGUAGUAAUCAUCCUAAAGCGACUGUUCAUAAGCCUAUGAUGUGGUCACCAGCCCCCAACAUUUCAUAGAACAAUGCGCUAAUGUUUCACUAGAGGUCCUCUAUGGAAGGUUGGAUGCAGCCGGGAAUGCCUGAAACUGAGUUUAAGGAUGUUAAUUCUGUUAAUCAUUAAUCUUUUGGUUAUUCCCUGGGAUAUUUCAUGUAGACCUUUGAUGGGACCGCUAACUGUCUUAGUUCAUUCAAAAUCCAGUUCUAGGUUGAUGCGAGCAAAGAAUUAUUCAAGCACUUGAGUUACCGAGAAUGGUUGAUUCGUGAACUGGAGAUCUUAUUUUAUUUUUCAAUAUUGUUUUUCUGCAUCACAGAAAGCUCUUUUUAUCUUAGUGGAAACUUCAUGAAAAAUACAUAGCUAUCCUGGCUCCCGGUGCAGCGGCUGGUUGGUCAUCUUUGCGUGCCCGGCUUGCUGGCCCUACGGGCUACCUUGACUGAAGCCCCGCUUGCAUGGGUGGAGAGGCUAGGCACUUAUUUUACCCGAGUCGGCGCAUCGGCGGUUGCAUCAAGGACCCUCCGUGUCAGUUCGUGGGGUACCCACACUACAUCGCGUGCCAUCUCCGGCAUACUGUUUUGUGCCAUGGGCUUGACCAGGAGGCAUCUGGUGCAGACUAGGCUGAGCAAGUAUAUGGAAUUCUUUUUCCAAGGUAUGCCAAUUUUGUUUCCAUUAAGAACCAUCCAUUGCCCCUACUAUGCUUGAGACACCUUAUGAUAUUUAUGUGAGCUACUGUAGUGUCUACAUAUUUUCAAAUGACUUCCCAAUUUGAUCAGCAGUUCAGACUUGGGGUGCUUUAUAUUGCACUCAAAGGAUGUUUGAGGAAAAGUUAUGUCCGACUAUGCUUGAGACACCUUAUGAUAUUUAUGUGAGCUACUGUAGUGUCUACAUAUUUUCAAAUGACUUCCCAAUUUGAUCAGCAGUUCAGACUUGGGGUGCUUUAUAUUGCAUUCAAAGGAUGUUUGAGGAAAAGUUAUGUCCGCAGGGAUGUAUAUAAUAGCUCUAGGCGUCGGUGGCCAAAUGUAGCAACAGAGCCAAGGUAUUUUGUUCAAUAAUUAGCACUGCUAUUUAAUACGAAGCAUAUUCCUUUAUCAUCUUUAUCCGGCCCGCAUUUGUACUCAUGUCCCGUAGACCAUGAUAUCAGUAGAUGCCCUCCAACAGCACAACUUCACUCUAAUGGUGCCAAGCCUAUUAUCUCUUUUGUCCAGGUUGUAACUGGUCCUACACAUUAAUGCUUGAAGAUAUCUCAAGAUCAACCAAAAAAUAGGAACUUACUUCCCCAUAGUAAAUUAGUCGACACCAGUGAACUGCUCACUCAGCUCAUCUACCUGCACGAAUAUUUUAUAUUUGGUUCAGGAAUAUGCAGAUUGGAGAGUUCAUGAGACAUAUGGUGUACCAGGGGCAGCACCAUCUCUGUUCUUGAACAACUACAUUGUCAUUGUAUAGAAGCCACAAUAUCUCCAUAGAAUAACAAGGGAGGUAUAGAUAUGAUACUGCACUUGCUGUGUUUACGGCGCAUGCGGUCCAUGAAGAUGAGUGCUAUAUUUCACCAGUGUUGCUUGCCAAUGAUGCUACCCAAAAGUACUCUUGGGCAUUAGUUCUACACCCUAAACCUGAUUAAUACAUGGCCCAUCUCAAGCAUGUCCUAAUUUAUCGAACAUAAUAGUCAUGUCCAGAUCUCGAGCAUGUCCUAAUUUAUUGAAUCAAAUAGUCAUGUCCAGAUUCAAGUUAAGCUGAUAAAUGACGAAGGAUGGAUUAUCCUUUUUUUGUCAUUGUAUAAGAUGCUAUCUAUUUCAAUGGAAGAUUGGAUUAGUAUGGGGGAAUUAGAGCUAUUUAGUGGACACCUGAAUAUGGUCCAGUGGGGUGUGUCACUGAAAUGGUUCAGCUACAAACAAGUGUUUUGCCAUGUAACCUAAGUUUAGCGCCUGUGAUUCAACAUAUACUUGGGCCUUUUAGAUCAGUAAAAUCACAUGGAGAUGAAGGCUUUCAGCUGCCCGAUCCUUGAUAUAUCAAUACAACAUAAUACAGUUCAAGUUGUUGACCACUUCGGUUAGUCAUUGCAUUGAGAUUCUUAUCCGCCCAUUGGGUUGUUGAACGCUUUGUUUGGUCAUCAUUGCGAUAGGUUCUUAUUUGCCAUGUACUAGCUAGAUUUCAUGCUUUGUUUGAUAAAAAUAUUGUGUGGGACCCAAAAACAUUGUAAAAUAUUAUCCACCUAUUUACUCGAUAUUGUUUCAAGUAUUGCUUAGAACUCAUGCUACACUCUUAUGUCUUAAAUCCAGUGUAUAAAAGGACAUCACUCAGUUUAACAUACCGGUAAUUGUCUUUGUUUAAAUAAAUAUAGAGAAAUUCCAAUAACCAUGCCUUACAAAUAUGACAAAGGAGCAAGAAAAUAGGCACACCAUGGACUCUCCCUUUGAUAACGCCAUUGAGCCCUGAAUCCCUUAUGGCGAUGAUGGAGCUCCCUUUGAUAACGCCAUCGAGCCCUAAAUCCAUUGCGGCGAUGAUGGAGAACUCAAUCGAGCUCUCGGCCUUCCAAGCUGCUCUCAAUACCUUCCGGCGCCAAAGCAAACUUUGCUCCACUUAUUGGCGUCCUCACAUCAACAUAGGAACUCAUCAUCAUCAUCUCCUUCAACGAAGAAGACAACAAGGCCAGUCACUCAUAGUUCUGUAAAAGGAACACCAACACCACCUUUCAAUAUGUAUGACCAUUGACCACCAGGUAAUCUACUACUUAUGUAACA